UACAGAGGGGGCAAGCGUUGUUCGGAAUUACUGGGCGUAAAGGGCGCGUAGGCGGCCUUCUAAGUCGAACGUGAAAUCCCCGGGCUCAACCCGGGAACUGCGUCCGAUACUGGGAGGCUUGAAUCCGGGAGAGGGAUGCGGAAUUCCAGGUGUAGCGGUGAAAUGCGUAGAUAUCUGGAGGAACACCGAAGGCGAAGGCAGUGUCCUGGGGAGCACCUGACGCUCAGAUGCGAAAGCCAGGGGAGCGAACGGG
rnacentral:rRNA from 1 species